rnacentral:rRNA from 1 species
UACGGGGGGAGCAAGCGUUGUUCGGAUUUACUGGGCGUAAAGCGCGCGUAGGCGGCUGAUUAAGUCGGAUGUGAAAUCCCCGGGCUCAACCUGGGAACUGCAUACGAUACUGAUCGGCUAGAGUAUGAGAGAGGGAGGUAGAAUUCCACGUGUAGCGGUGAAAUGCGUUGAUAUCAUCAGGAAUACCGGAGGCGAAGGCGGCUCACUGGGUCUCUUCUGACGCUGAGGAACGAAAGCUAGGGGAGCAAACGGG